GAGAUGUGGGUUAGUCCGCACGAGCGCACCUCACUUUUAGUUGCCAUCAUUAAGUUGGGCACUCUGAAAGAACUGCCAGUGAUAAGCUGGAGGAAGGUGGGGAUGACGUCAAGUCCUCAUGGCCCUUACGUGUUGGGCUACACACGUGCUACAAUGGCAUCUACAACAGGAAGCAAAACGGCAACGUUAAGCAAAUCCCGAAAAGAUGCCUCAGUUCGGAUUGCACUCUGCAACUCGAGUGCAUGAAGCUGGAAUUACUAGUAAUCGUGGAUCAGCGUGCCACGGUGAAUGCGUUCCCGGGUCUUGUACACACCGCCCGUCACACCAUGGGAGUUGGUUCUACCUUAAGGCAAGGUUUUAAACCCUUGACCACGGUAUAGUCAGCGACUGGGGUGAAGUCGUAACAAGGUAGCCGUAGGGGAACCUGCGGCUGGAUUACCUCCUUUCU
rnacentral:rRNA from 1 species